rnacentral:rRNA from 1 species
AACGAACGCUGGCGGCAGGCUUAACACAUGCAAGUCGAACGCAUCGCAAGAUGAGUGGCAGACGGGUGAGUAACGCGUGGGAACAUACCCUUUUCUACGGAAUAGCUCUGGGAAACUGGAAUUAAUACCGUAUACGCCCUUUACUGGUGGACAGUUAGGGGAAAGAUUUAUCGGGGAAGGAUUGGCCCGCGUUGGACUAGCUAGUUGGUGGGGUAACGGCCUACCAAGGCGACGAUCCAUAGCUGGUCUGAGAGGAUGAUCAGCCACAUUGGGACUGAGACACGGCCCAAACUCCUACGGGAGGCAGCAGUGGGGAAUAUUGGACAAUGGGCGCAAGCCUGAUCCAGCCAUGCCGCGUGAGUGAUGAAGGCCUUAGGGUUGUAAAGCUCUUUCACCGAUGAAGAUAAUGACGGUAGUCGGAGAAGAAGCCCCGGCUAACUUCGUGCCAGCCGCCGCCGUAA